rnacentral:ncRNA from 1 species
ACUGCUGGGGGUGCCUUUCGGCUGAGAUUAUACCCUUUAAACCUGAUGCGGUCAGUACCGCCGUAGGGAAGCGAAGUUCAA